ACGUGAUCGCGCACCGCCUCCUCCGCGCCGCUGUCACGUGACCGCGCCCGCUCUAUAUAAGCUGCGCGCGGGCCCAACUUCGGCCUUUCCGCCCCGCGGGGGAGAUGGAGUGGGGGCGCUCGGCGCGGCCUUGUCGGAUGCAUCAACCACACUCCUCCGUCUUACGGCUUCAGAACAGGUAGGUAUUACUGGUGUAACGUGGAGUUUAAAUUGAGAAAUAAUGUGUAGGUACACUUGGAGAAACUAGCCUGGAAUAUUUUGGGAAGUUACAGGAGUAGUGUUUGUAAUCCAGUAAUUGCAGUGUCUCUUCAGGCACUCCUCACUACUCUGCUGGGAAAAGCCAUGUCUUUCAUGUACUGGGAAGGAAAUGUGAGGUUCAUGUUUUGAGCCGGUAUAGUAAUACUGGCCUCUAACCAGGCUACAAUAGCACCCUAAAUACAUUUUUUCCUUGGUUACUGCUCUUUCGCUAUCCAGUACCUUGUUGUUUGGAGGAAAAUGCCUGAUGCUUGUUUCAUAAAGAGCCUGUAACUGGUGGAUAACGGGAAGGGAGAGCCUAUGAUGGUUUCAGAGUAGUGGACAGAAGUGAUUUCUGAAAACUGCAUGCUGAGGCUUUGUUCUGUGUGUGGUGUCACUGCGAGAGGUAUUUCUUGUCAUCCUGCAGUGUUUCAAACCAUUUUCUCUUCCAGAACCACUGCUGAAUGUGGAGGAUUGAUGAUGCUGCUUCAGAAGGAUUUCAGCUGUAUGCUUGGAAGACUUGAAGGAGAAACGUGACCCGGCACAGGGAGAUGAAGCUGUAAGCUGUGCAAGGCUGUCCCAGGCAGGACGCCCAUGCCUCCUCCAGUGUGAGAAGCUUUCACCUGUUACUCCUGUUGAAGACAUGAUCUUCCUAAUUAAAGGCUUCCAGAGUGUUUCUCAUUGUGAUGGCUGGUACGGUGGAGCUGUGAAGUGGCGCAGUCGGUAGUCGUGCCAGCGAAGAGUGAAGCUCAUGGAGUUUGUAUGAAACAAGACUAACUUAUAUCUGAGGUGCGCUGUGAAAUCUUAUGUAGAGUUUGUGUGAACAGAAGAUGCGACCUCAGUGACUCUGAAAGCUGGUGUUUAUUUUUAUUGCUGGAUGUCUUCACACGGUGGCAAUAAUAACAGAGCUGAAUUGGUGGAGACCACUGAGCCAAUCCAGUGCAGCUGAUGUGGUACAGUUCUGUGCAGCAGCAGAUAACUGUUACAACUGGAUUCUAAUGCAUCUGGUUAGUCUGUCAGCUGACCCUUGCACUCUUAAAUCAAAGAAGUAAACAAACCCAAAGCCCACCCUGUCUGCUGUGGUUGUCACUACUCAGUAAUUUUCUGGUCUUGGUUAUGCUGGCUGUACAUGAAUUUAAGGUCAAGUUUUAGAUCAUGGCUUUCCUAACUUUUCUCCAGCAGACUGGUUCUUACUUUUAAGAAUGUUUUCCAGAUGAUUUCUAUGGGACUUGUAUUUUAGGUAGCAAAACACAUUGAAUCUAACCCUGUUAGGAGAGUAUCACAAAGCAAGUAGUAGUUAUGUACUUUUGCCCACAUUCUUCCCGUGUUAGUAAUUUUGUAUUUCCCAUUCCGUUUGUAAGCCCUGUAUAUCCUAGGUGGGUAGUGCAAGUUGAAGCUUGUGUCAGUUGCCAGCUUGAAAUAAAAUCAGCUUAGUGAAUAGAAUUUCAUAGCUUAACUUGCAUAAAGUGGUGGCUGGUAUUCUGGAACAGCUUUUUCUCUUUCUCAGGAAAGGACUCUGCUGUCUGCAGCCUCACGAGGUAAGACCACACAGCAGAAAUUCUGUUAAAAACUGGGAAUAUUUGUAGCCACUGAUGAAAUUUGAUUCUGCCAAAUGAAUUACUGUGAUUUUAAACUUUCCGUUCCACUUUUCUCUGAGGUUACAAAGCUGCUGUGGAGCUGUUAGCAGCUGUACUACUGCCUGUGUUAAUUGUGUUUUCUUGCUUUAGGCGAGGAGGCAACAUUACUACUGUAUGAAGAACUGAGAAGGUGAGUGUCACUAGUAGCAAAACUUAUCUGCUGGAACAAAUGAUGAUAACCUCAGCUUGAACUCUCUCUCUGAGCAGAGAUGAAAAUCUAGGGUCUGACUUGUUCCCAGCAAACUUCUCGUGUGCUCAUUUGGUGCCUAAUAAUUAUGUCUGUCUUAAUAGGUGGAAGACUGCAGAGUACUGAUAAUAUGUGCAUGAACCAGCACUAAAAAUCCAAGUUUUUUCACUGCAAUGGAAAUGUUUGGUACUGAUUGGAACCAAUAAAAAUGUGUAAACUCUA